rnacentral:lncRNA from 1 species
ACAUCGAGCCGAGUACUUGCGUGCUCAUAUUUCUGAUCUGGAAUGUCGCGACCUCGUUCGUCUGCCACGGCGUGCACGUUUAUUACUGCCGGAAACUCGUUCACAAGAUUCCAGUGAAUCUCUACGCAAUUCCCUACAACCGGGACAUUCCCACUCAUCACUAUUACCUCUUCCUAGCUUCGGCAUUUCAAUACACAUUUAUUCUGAUCUUCAAGCUCACACUCCUCUACGUAGUGUACCAGUACUACAAGGAGCUGAAGGAACCCAAGGCAGCGGGGCGAGACUGCGCAGGAGGAGAUCGAGACACUAC